rnacentral:rRNA from 1 species
AUUGAACGCUGGCGGCAGGCCUAACACAUGCAAGUCGAGCGGAGCGGCGGACGGGCGGGCAAUGCCUAGGAAUCUGCCUGGUAGUGGGGGAUAACGUCCGGAAACGUGCGCUAAUCCCGCAUACUAUCAGAUGAUCCUAGGUCGGCUUAGCUAGUUGGUGUGGUAAAGGCCUACAAAGGCGACGAUCCGUAACUGGUCUGAGAGGAUGAGCAGUCACACUGGAACUGAGACACGGGCCAGACUCCUACGGGAGGCAGCAGUGGGGAAUAUUGGACAAUGGGCGAAAGCCUGAUCCAGCCAUGCCGCGUGUGUGAAGAAGGUCUUCGGAUUGUAAAGCACUUUAAGUUGGGAGGCGUUACCAACAGAAGAAGCACCGGCUAACUUCGUGCCAGCAGCCGCGGUAAUAC